rnacentral:rRNA from 1 species
GCCUAAAUAUCUAUCCUAAAAGUACCAGAUCUUGUCUGAUCUUGGAAGUUAAGCUUGCUCAGCCCAGGUUAGUACUUGGAUGGAAAACCGCCAAUGUAUAUCAGAUGUUAUAGGCU